rnacentral:miRNA from 1 species
AACUGUAUGUGAGUGGGUGUGUGAGUGUGUGUGUGUGUGUGUGUGUGUGUGUGUGUGCAUGCACAUGAACACAC